rnacentral:rRNA from 1 species
GACGAACGCUGGCGGCGUGCCUAAUACAUGCAAGUAGGACGCAGUUGCGAACGGUUGAGUAACGCGUAGGGACCUACCUAUUAGAGGGGGAUAACUAUUGGAAACGAUAGCUAAUACCGCGUACUAGUAGAUGGACCUUCGUUGUAUUAGCUAGUAGGUAGGGUAAUGGCCUACAUAGGCAACGAUACAUAGCCGACCUGAGAGGGUGAUCAGUCACACUGGAACUGAGACACGGUCCAGACUCCUACGGGAGGCAGCAGUGGGGAAUAUUGGACAAUGGGCGAAAGCCUGAUCCAGCCAUGCCGCGUGUGUGAAGAAGGUCUUCGGAUUGUAAAGCACUUUAAGUUGGGAGGCGUUACCAACAGAAUAAGCACCGGCUAACUUCGUGCCAGCAGCCGCGGUAAUAC